rnacentral:rRNA from 1 species
UAAAACCCAAAGGCGAAAUGAAAGUAAAGAGUUGAGCAUAAUUAAAAAAAUUUUUUUUCUUUUAUGUUCCUCUUAAGGGAAGAUAGAAAUUGCUUUAAUAAUAGUUGUACUUGUUUAUAACUAAUUGUUAAUGUAAAUUUCUCGCACUCCCAGGGCGCUUGUUUAACGCUUGCGUGGCAAUGCGCACCUAGAGCGUACACGCUGAUACCCGAAAGAUGGUGAACUAUGCCUGGCCAGGACGAAGCCAGGGGAAACCCUGGUGGAGGUCCGCAGCGAUUCUGACGUGCAAAUCGAUCGUCGGAGCUGGGUAUAGGGGCGAAAGACCAAUCGAACCAUCUAGUAGCUGGUUCCCUCUGAAGUUUCCCUCAGGAUAGCUUGCGCUUAGAUAAAGAAUCUCAUCCGGUAGAGCGAAUGAUUAGAGGCAUUGGGGUCGAAACGACCUCAACCUAUUCUCAAACUCCAAAUAGGUGAG